rnacentral:rRNA from 1 species
AAUCAACGCUGGCGGCGUGCCUCAGACAUGCAAGUCGAACGAUUAAAGCUCUCUUCGGAGAGUGUAUAGAGUGGCGCACGGGUGAGUAACACGUAAGUAAUCUACCCUCGAGUGGGGAAGUAACAACCGGAAACGGUUAGCUAAUACCGCAUAAUGCAGCGGCACCGCAAGGUGACAGUUGUUAAAGAUUAUCGCUUGAGGAGGAGCUUGCGGCAGAUUAGCUAGUUGGUAGGGUAACGGCUUACCAAGGCUACGAUCUGUAACCGGUCUAAGAGGACGGUCGGUCACACUGACACUGAAUAACGGGUCAGACUCCUACGGGAGGCAGCAGUCGGGAAUUUUGGGCAAUGGGCGAAAGCCU